rnacentral:lncRNA from 1 species
CCACCACCCACACGUGAACAGAGAUGGUGGAAACCAAACCACACCAGUCCAGGCCACAUUCGGCGUCGUGGAAAAGACCACGGACAAGCUUCUAGAGAUUGGGAUGCUUAAAAGAUUUUUAAAAUAUAUCAGACGGCGCUGAGAGACGUUGAGACUUUUGAAAAUCUCGGUCAAACUGUCAAACCUGACACCAACCCAAACCCAAAGGUCGGCCACAAAAAAAAAAAAAAGAAAAC